AAGUUACUAAAGUGGCAAAAUCAUUGGGAGGUUCUAGCUCCAAAAGAAAGGCCACUUCAACUCCGUCGGUAUCAACAACACCUUCGAUUAGUAAUUAUAAUUAUGAACCAAAUUAUCCAGAAGGGUACGACCAAGAAUUACACAAUUAUGCAGAAGAAGUGGAAAGAGAAAUACAAAUUGAUUAAGAAGAAGAACAAGAAGAGGAACCAACGACCCCUAUUGGGAUACAUAAUUCUCGACAGUCAUCAACAAGAUCACAUGAAGAACAACUACAACAACAACAACAAAGACAAGCUCGUGGUAAACGAGUCAAUUUCCAAACUAUCGAUGAAGAUGAACCAGUAAGACAACCUUUUCCGGCAAUGCCACCUCCUAGUGGUAGAGUUGUUUCACAUGUGUGGUCGUAUUUUACAAAAGAACCAACCGACAAUCCAGAUGUUUUCUUAUGCACUUGUCAAAUUUGUGAAAGUCAAGGAGUAAAGCCCUUAAUUUCAUACAAUUUCGCCAGAGGUGGUGGUACGGGAUCUUUUAACAAACAUUUGGCAAAGAAGCAUGGAAUCACAAAAGAAACUCAUGCAGCAAGCGGC